rnacentral:rRNA from 1 species
UACGAGGGGGGCAAGCGUUGUUCGGAAUUAUUGGGCGUAAAGGGCGCGUAGGCGGUCGGAUAAGUCUUGUGUGAAAUCUUCGGGCUCAACUCGAAGUCUGCAUGAGAAACUAUCCGGCUUGAGUGUGGGAGAGGUGAGUGGAAUUCCUGGUGUAGCGGUGAAAUGCGUAGAUAUCAGGAGGAACACCUGUGGCGAAAGCGGCUCACUGGACCACAACUGACGCUGAGGCGCGAAAGCGUGGGGAGCGAACAGG